rnacentral:rRNA from 1 species
AGAGUUUGAUCCUGGCUCAGAUUGAACGCUGGCGGCGGCCUACUCAUGUCAAGUCGAGCGGAUGAUUGGAGCUUGCUCCAUGAUUCAGCGGCGGACGGGUGAGUAAUGCCUAGGAAUCUGCCUGGUAGUGGGGGACAACGUUUCGAAAGGAACGCUAAUACCGCAUACGUCCUACGGGAGAAAGUGGGGGAUCUUCGGACCUCACGCUAUCAGAUGAGCCUAGGUCGGAUUAGCUAGUUGGUGAGGUAAAGGCUCACCAAGGCAACGAUCUCUAGCUGGUCUGAGAGGAUGAUCAGCCACACUGGGACUGAGACACGGCCCAGACUCCUACGGGAGGCAGCAGUGGGGAAUAUUGGACAAUGGGCGCAAGCCUGAUCCAGCCAUGCCGCGUGUGUGAAGAAGGCCUUCGGGUUGUAAAGCACUUUCAGAAGGGAGGAAAGGUUGUGUGUUAAUAGCGCAUAGCUGUGACGUUACCUUCAGAAGAAGCACCGGCUAACUCCGUGCCAGCAGCCGCGGUAAUA